CUAGUAUCAACACAAACACUUAGAGGUAGACUCAGGAACUGAUAAUGCUGAGGUCCUGGGAGAUAAAGGAAAAGCUGGGGACCAAUGAACCAAUGGCGUCCAAGGUUGUGUCCAUUGAUGAACACGGCUCCUUUACCCCAACCCUGUGGAUGGAUGCACUGGGGAAUAAAGUACUCGCUUGUACUUUGACGCCAUCUCAGAAAAAUGCUUGGGAGCAGUUGGAUACCUUUGAUUACUGUGUAACAGUAACAGAAUAGUGACAAUCCUGUGAAAUGCGGCACAGUCAAGUUGCAGUGGGAGCCUACGUGGUGAGAGUAUUGAGGCCACAGGCCUUCAUCUUCAGCAGCCGGUCCUCCCAGUAGGCUCUGGGGACACGAAAGUA